AACGAACGCUGGCGGCAUGCCUAACACAUGCAAGUCGAACGAGACCUUCGGGUCUAGUGGCGCACGGGUGCGUAACGCGUGGGAACCUGCCCUUAGGUUCGGAAUAACUCCCCGAAAGGGGUGCUAAUACCGAAUAAUGUCUUCGGACCAAAGAUUUAUCGCCUUUGGAUGGGCCCGCGUUGGAUUAGCUAGUUGGUAGGGUAAAAGCCUACCAAGGCGACGAUCCAUAGCUGGUCUGAGAGGAUGAUCAGCCACACUGGGACUGAGACACGGCCCAGACUCCUACGGGAGGCAGCAGUGGGGAAUAUUGGACAAUGGGCGAAAGUCUGAUCCAGCAAUGCCGCGUGAGUGAUGAAGGCCUUAGGGUUGUAAAGCUCUUUUACCCGGGAUGAUAAUGACAGUACCGGGAGAAUAAGCUCCGGCUAACUCCGUG
rnacentral:rRNA from 1 species